GAGUAAGUGAAUAAGGGCGCACGGGGGAUGCCUAGGCUCUCAGAGGCGAAGAAGGACGUGCCAAGCUGCGAAAAGCCGCGGGGAUCGGCUGAGGC
rnacentral:rRNA from 1 species